rnacentral:rRNA from 1 species
UACGUAGGGUGCAAGCGUUGUCCGGAAUUACUGGGUUUAAAGGGUACGUAGGUGGGCGCCUAAGUCUGGAGUGAAAGUUUGAGGCUCAACCUCGAAAGUGCUUUGGAUACUGGGCGUCUAGAAUUAGAUAUAGGUAGCUGGAAUUUGUGGUGUAGCGGUGAAAUGCAUAGAUACCACGAGGAACACCAAUUGCGAAGGCAGGCUACUGGGUCUAUAUUGACACUGAUGUACGAAAGUGUGGGUAGCGAACAGG